rnacentral:rRNA from 1 species
AUGCUCCGACGCCUCGCCGGCGCCGCCGCGGCGCCUCUCCGCCGCUCCCUCUGCACGGCCGCGACGGCCUCCUCGCCCCCUCCGUGGGCCAUGCUCUACACCAAGCCGGCGCUGGACGCGUCGGGGGCGCCGUCGCGCGCGUCGCUCGACCUCCACGAGGACCUGUGGGCCCAGCUCUCCGUCCCCGCCCACCUCGUCGUCCCCUACGCCGGCGACGCCACGGGCUUCUUCGCCGGCGCCGUCCGCGCCGCGACCCUCGACGGCCUCCUCCUCGUCGACUUCUCUGAUACCCGCUGCCGCGCCCCGGUCGACGGCACCUUCCGCCCCAGCUGGCUGGCCGAGUUCGACGCCGCCGCCGCGUACGCCGGCGAGCCGGACGUCGUGCGCUUCGUCUGCAACCCUCUCAGCGGCCAGCUGGCCCGCCUCCCUGUCCCAGGCACCGAGUUCGCGAGCUGCUCCACGGGUUUCGGCCUGCUCACCAAGUCCGAGGGCUCCCGCGGCCCGCCGGACAGGUACGUGGUCGCUCAGCUCAGCCGCAGCCGCCGCGGGGGAGCGGACCACCCCGUCGUGCGCCGUUUCCUGUCGGAAACAGGGGAGUGGGACGAGCGGCGGCUGGCCGGCCCGUCCACGGUGCCGGCUAGCCGGGACAUGCGCAUAGACCCGAACCUCGAGGUGGUGGCAUUCGGCGACCGGCUGUGGUGGCUCGACCCGACCUGGGGCAUCUGCUCCGUCGACCCUUUCAGCGACCAGCCGGAGCAUCGCUUCGUGGAGCUGCCCCCGGCCAGCGUGCUGCCUGACCUGAUUGACCUGGCGGGGACUCCAGUGCUGGGCAGGUACCGUCGUCUGGGGGUGAGCGAGGGGAAGCUGCGCUAUGUGGAGGUGUCUAACAGCAGGAAGCCAUUCGUGUGCAGCUCCUUCUCGCUCGACGAGAAGGGCUGCUGCUGGACGGUCGAGCACAAGGUUGCAUUCAAUCCUGUUCUCCCUGAAAGGUGCAAAGUUCUGGAAGACCACAUACCGUGCAUUGCCGCCAUCGAUCCAUUCCGGGCGAACUUUCUGUACCUCGUCUAUGGUCGCUUUCUUAUUGUUGUGGACAUGGCUAAGGGGAAAAGCUUAAGGGGCCGGUAUCUUCCAGAAAGAGCCGGCGAUCAAACCCUGUGCCCCUCUGGUUUCCUUGUGCCCUGCACGCUCCCAACAUGGCUAGAGUCGAGCUACAUCCCCUGUGCAGGAACCCUUUCGAGCAAGAAGACCAAUUCUAAAAGGAACAGUUUGGCAGAGACGCUGGUUCGUGUGGACAGGGGGCAGAAAAAUUAA